ACGCUCGACACCUACGGGAGGAAGCAGUGGGGGAUAUCGCACAAUGGGGGAAACCCUGAUGCAGCAACGCCGCGUGAAGGAAGAAGGUCUUCGGAUUGUAAACUUCUGUCCUCAGGGAAGAUAAUGACGGUACCUGAGGAGGAAGCUCCGGCUAACUACGUGCCAGCAGUCGCGGUAAUCUGAGCGGGCUGGCAAGGC
rnacentral:rRNA from 1 species